UACAAGCAACACAAACACAUUAUACAUCCCUGGACAGAGCUAGUCCCCAAGCAUAACAGUUUUAAAAAGCACCCAGAGCAAAAGCGCCCAGCCCAAGUAAUAAUCAUGUAAAGUUGGAUCGGGCCAUGGCUAACCCCUGAUCUGAUGCAGAGUUCUAGACUGUUUUGCAUUAAGUUCUGGUUUCCAAUAAUGUCUUUCUGAAGCCUGUAGAAGGAAGCUCCCACAAGUCCUUGUCUCACACGUAGGAGCGUAGGACUGCCCGACACCCAGUCUGACACAGCUUGCUUGUACACUGGACAUUGAGGAACCCCACUCCUCUGCUGCUUGAG